rnacentral:rRNA from 1 species
UACGUAGGGGGCGAGCGUUGUCCGGAUUCAUUGGGCGUAAAGGGUGUGUAGGUGGCGCGCUAAGUCGGGUGUGAAAUUUCGGAGCUUAACUCCGAAACUGCAUUCGAUACUGGCGUGCUUGAGGACUGGAGAGGAGACUGGAAUUCAUGGUGUAGCAGUGAAAUGCGUAGAGAUCAUGAGGAAGACCAGUGGCGAAGGCGGGUCUCUGGACAGUUCCUGACACUGAGACACGAAGGCCAGGGGAGCAAACGGG